rnacentral:tRNA from 6 species
GGAGGCGUAUCCGGUCUGGUGACCGGCCCGAUCUUCAAAAUCGCUGAGUGGCAGUUCCUGUCGCUGGCGGGUUCGAUUCCCGUCCGCCUCCGCCA